rnacentral:ncRNA from 1 species
GGCAAGGGUGCCUCGCAAUGAGGAGAAUAGGGAAGUCUGAGCAUGGCGACAUGCGUAGGCGCGGGCCCACCACUGUACCGGGAAGAGCUUGCAAUGCCACUCGCAAGGGGAAGGCGCAGGAUAUUGAUGAACCGGGAGCCAGGAGACCUGCCCUGCCGUC